CCAUCUGAACACUUAUUCUAUUUUAUGGAAUGAAAUGUUGCUCAAUUUUAGAAUGGAAAAUAAAGCCAAUUAAGAUCUUUAAACUCAACUGUUGAAAUUUUGUCCUUUGACAGAUUAGUGUUCCGGAAGUCAAGGGAUAAGAAUUUCAAGAGGCAGAAUGUUCAGUGGUGCCAAGCGCUGCAGCAAGCAGUUAAAUUGAGGAUGGAAAAGAAUCUAUGAGUUUGGCGAGUAGGAAAUCACAACAACCUUGGCUAAGCCAGAGAGCAACGCUGGAUCAAGGAGAGAUAAGGAUAGAGAACAUCAAGAACCUGGAAAGAGGACCAGGAGAUUUAGCUCAGUGGUUUUGCCACCUGCUGUACAAGCCCAAAUACCGGAGUUCAAUCCCUGGUACCAAAAAAGGAAAAAAAAAAAAAAAAAAAACCUGGAAAGAAUCUCUUCAGGACCCAAAAGUCGGAAAUAGUUCUGGAGGAACAAGGUCAAGGGGGCACAUCUGAUUAUGGCUUUCCUGCUUGCAGAGUCACGAGGUGGGGCAGCAUCACAUGACAAGAGAUGGAAAUGCUUGUUUGCCUGUGUCUCUGCUUAUAAAGCACCAGGAUUCAACCCUGGGGGUACAACCCUAACAACCUCUUCUAAUUCUGACGACCUCCCAGAGUUCCCACCUCUACCCACCACUGUUGGAUUAAGCGUCCAUCUUCCUAACAUCUCAAAAUGAGAAUUCAAUUUCAAUACAUGAAGCCUUGGCGAAUAA
rnacentral:lncRNA from 1 species